CAGGCCUUGACAUCCAAUGAACUUUCUAGAGAUAGAUUGGUGCCUUCGGGAACAUUGAGACAGGUGCUGCAUGGCUGUCGUCAGCUCGUGUCGUGAGAUGUUGGGUUAAGUCCCGUAACGAGCGCAACCCUCGCCCUUAGUUGCCAGCAUUCAGUUGGGCACUCUAAGGGGACUGCCGGUGAUAAGCCGAGAGGAAGGUGGGGAUGACGUCAAGUCCUCAUGGCCCUUACGGCCUGGGCUACACACGUGCUACAAUGGUCGGUACAAAGGGUUGCCAAGCCGCGAGGUGGAGCUAAUCCCACAAAACCGAUCGUAGUCCGGAUCGCAGUCUGCAACUCGACUGCGUGAAUUCGGAAUCGCUAGUAAUCGCGAAUCAGAAUGUCGCGGUGAAUACGUUCCC
rnacentral:rRNA from 1 species